rnacentral:rRNA from 1 species
UACGUGGGGGGCAAGCGUUGUUCGGAAUCAUUGGGCGUAAAGGGCUCGUAGGUGGCCAAGUAAGUCAGACGUGAAAUCCCUCAGCUUAACUGGGGAACUGCGUCUGAUACUGGAUGGCUUGAGUUUGGGAGAGGGAUGCGGAAUUCCAGGUGUAGCGGUGAAAUGCGUAGAUAUCUGGAGGAACACCGGUGGCGAAGGCGGCAUCCUGGACCAACACUGACACUGAGGAGCGAAAGCCAGGGGAGCAAACGGG